rnacentral:rRNA from 1 species
AUUGCACAGACAACUAGGAUGUUGGCUCAGAAGCAGCCACCAUUUAAAGAGUGCGUAAUAGCUCACUAGUCGAGUGGUCCUGCGCCGAAAAUGUAACGGGGCUAAACACAUUACCGAAAUUGUGGAUGCAUCCGUAAGGAUGCGUGGUAGGAGAGCGUUCUAAGGGCGAUGAAGCUAGACCGUAAGGACUGGUGGAGCGCUUAGAAGUGAGAAUGCCGGUAUGAGUAGCGAAAGAUAGGUGAGAAUCCUAUCCACCGUAUGACUAAGGUUUCCU